rnacentral:tRNA from 1 species
AAAUUUAAAUAGUUUAAUAAAAAUAUUGAUUUGUGGAAUCAAAGUUAUAUAUAGUAUUUUAAA